UCCCUGACCGCGUAUGAAAGUACGUUUCACCCUCGGGUGACAGGGAGACAGGUGGUGCAUGGUUGUCGUCAGCUCGUGUCGUGAGAUGUUGGGUUAAGUCCCGCAACGAGCGCAACCCCUACGUUUAGUUGCUAACAGGUGAAGCUGAGCACUCUAGACGAACUGCCGUUGACAAAACGGAGGAAGGUGGGAUGACGUCAAAUCAUCAUGCCCCUUAUGUUCUGGGCUACACACGUGCUACAAUGGCCGGUACAGACGGAGGCGAAGCCGCGAGGCGGAGCAAAUCCGAAAAAGCCGGUCUCAGUUCGGAUUGCAGGCUGCAAUUCGCCUGCAUGAAGUCGGAAUCGCUAGUAAUCGCAGGUCAGCAUACUGCGGUGAAUACGUUCCCGGGCCUU
rnacentral:rRNA from 1 species